rnacentral:lncRNA from 1 species
GGAUUCUGCCGAUGGAGAUCUCAGUCAUUGUUUUGGGGCAGAGCAGGAGCUAGCCAGGGCCAAGCAGGCAGCCUCACUCCCAGGACUUGGUCAUCUUGCUGUGUUUUUAACAGGAGCAGAGAGGUGGGGGGGGGGCGGACGGGCGAUGAAGUCAUGGUUAAAAUCCAUGCUCACUGAUUUUGGACUAGCUCUAUCUAUAUCACCGUCAUCCAAAGCACACCAGAGAUUCGAAAGUCAAGCCGAGCCCUCUUGACGCCGAGCCCUCGAGCCCUCCCCUCUCGGACAGGAGCCCGUGCGGGGGCCUGGGGACGGCAGGGGAUUCCGGGAGACUCUCCCUCCCCGUGCCGGGGUGCGAGAAGUGAGGCCUGGAGAAGAGGAAGGAAGACGAGGAGGAACUCGCACCCCGGGUUUCGGGCGCCAUGGGUGCGCGGGUACACCCGGUCCAGCAGUCCCUCCGAGGGCUGGCCUGGCCCCAGCGCGCCGCCGCUGCUGCACGUGGUCCGGACGAGCCCCGAUCCAUGCGACAUCGCGCGGCCCAGCCCCGGCUGGCCGCCUCCGAGGACCCCGGACCUCUGGCUGGUAAAGCUGGGACGGGACGGGGCGGAGCCUCAGGGGCGGGGCGCACGGCUCCCUCUUCCCAGCUGCGGCCGGACCCGGAGAGGACUCGGGAGCAGAUGCCCCUCAAGCCCCUGCCCUCUAGACACGCGGAAGUUGGACUGGCGUGGGCAGGAAACCGGACGCCUGGGGCCCUGGCCUCUCCCAGGAGCGCACCGCCCAGGUCACAGCUGGUGAUGAGCCUCCAGGGAUUUUUUGUGUGGGUGCGGCUGCUACUAGGUACUGAAGGGGGAACUGCUCCAGCAUACCGUGCUGCUGCUCUCUUCAUUUCUGCUUCUGUGUGUGUGCACGGGCACGCACCUGUGCAACCAUCACCUACAGCAAUUAAAACAGGUCCAUCACCUCAGAACCGUCACCCCC